rnacentral:rRNA from 1 species
UACGUAGGGUGCAAGCGUUGUCCGGAAUUAUUGGGCGUAAAGAGCUCGUAGGCGGUUUGUCGCGUCUGCUGUGAAAACUGGAGGCUCAACCUCCAGCCUGCAGUGGGUACGGGCAGACUAGAGUGCGGUAGGGGAGAUUGGAAUUCCUGGUGUAGCGGUGGAAUGCGCAGAUAUCAGGAGGAACACCAAUGGCGAAGGCAGCUCGCCGGAACGGUACUGACGCUGAGGCGCGAAAGCGUGGGGAGCGAACAGG